rnacentral:lncRNA from 1 species
CUGUGAUAUAUUGACUGGGAUAGUAUUACUCUUCAGAAAUACAGAGCUGUCAAUACUGCAAUUUUGUUGUGAAAUUCACAAUCCAUGUCCAAAAGUGCUUGUUUUACUAUACAGCAAAGAAGGAGAAAUUAUACUGGGCCGACACCUUAAGAGAGAAGGGUCGAUUACUUAUGGGAGAAGAGCCGAUGGGCAGAUUACUGAUGUCGCAAGCUGUGGUUUGACCAUAUGCUUGCUUUUUUCUAUCAUAGUACUUUCGUAUUAUUGAGCAUUAUGCUAGCAGAGAAAAACCAAAUUCAAGUGAUGACUCUUUCGAUGUCAAAGCAAGUGCGAGGGUCAAAGGUAAACCGAAGGAGGAAAAGAUCUCCAAAAGUAGAAAUGUUUUACUCAGAGGAUCACUAGGUGUUCGGUGCGGUGGAGGAAAAGCACAAAGAAACGACAGUAAACUUCUUCCAACUAUUUGAAUGGGCAUAUCGGAGAACUAAAUCUACUGAAACCUUGUUCAUAACUUAACAAAAUAUUCUUAAAUAAACUUCCAACUCCGCAUGCAGAUGUCUCCAGAAUAAAACGCCAGAUUUACUGUAAGAGUCUAUAUUUUGAAUAAAUGUUUGUUUUAUCA